GCUGGGCUUGGUGGCGCAUGCCUGUAAUCCCAGCUACUCGGGAGGCUGAGACAGGAGAAUUGCUUGAAUCUGGGAGGUGGAGGUUGCAGUGAGCCGAGAUCACGCCAUUGCACUCCAGCCUGGGCAACAGAGCAAGACUCUGUCUCAC
ensembl:misc_RNA Metazoa_SRP Metazoan signal recognition particle RNA